ensembl:lincRNA
CUCCUGUUGAUUAACAGAGAUGCGCCAAACCCAGUGACACUUCUGAGUCGGAAUGUGAUGUCGACCACAAAUCUGAGAAGAGAAAAAGUACGUACAAGUGCAGGAGAGAAGUUACUGAAGAGUGUUGAAGUCUGAUCUCAUGAGUUGAAAGAUGCUCUACAGCUCACAAAGGCAUCUUCCUUCUUUAUCAAGAGUUUACAGUUCAGGACACAAGCCAAGCAUCACUCAAGUGACCAUGCAACAAGACCACCUAUAUUUGGAAAUUAAUGAGCUAUGUUUUCAGGAUGUUGGUCAUCCCAUCCAUUCAGUGACCCCAAAAUCUGAUUGGAACUCCAUUCCUGAAUUUCCAAAGGCUACUGUGACUUUCAGGCAAAUGGGCAAUACAGUCUUACGGACCCCACACACCAAGUUGGUACUGAGUGUGGAGAAAAUUAGAGAGGACAAGCAAGACUUAAAGACUCUGAAACAACUGACACAAAUCCAAGUCAAGCUCAGCUUCUAGCAGUCCAAAAUCUCAACCUGGCUCCCUGGGGUGCUUCCUAUGAAGAUUGGGAAAAAUAAGAUGGUGUCAUGGAAAACUCAUGGCCAGUCUUGGGAAGUAUCUAAGUUAAGGGUUGCAGAUUAUUCCAGCGAGUACAAUUUCUUGCAGACUUAAAAAAGCCAAAGUUGCUUAUAAAGCUGGUACCAUUUGUACAGUAGAAAGAGGAGUGUGUGGAAUGAUGACUAAGCAAGAUGAGACAUAGCUAAAUUAUAAACAAAUUAGAAUAAACAUGGGCUCAGGACUGCAACAGGUGACUUUCGAAACUGAUAGCUAAGUUGUUUUCACUGAACUAUGGGAAUAGGUCUCAAAUUAUUUCCCAUGCAUAAGUCAAGCAGAUGCUACUUUUAAUGUGAGGUGUGGCUGCAGGUCUCAAGAGAACAGUCCAACGCCAGAAAAGAAAAACAGCAUCUGUCCUUAGAUGGUAUACAAAAAGUCAAUUGUUAAAGGCAUGAAGUCUAUCCUGAUCGUUUUCACCUAAAUGAAAAUAAGCAAUAGUGGUGGAAUGUAUACAGCAAGGUGGAAAGAGAAAGCAGUGCAAAGAAGACUCAGUUACCAAGUCAGGAUUUUAGAAUUGGUCAGGGCUUCUGUGACAAGCUGAACAACUGUAGAAGCUGUUCUUCACGCCCAGCCAAACGGCCUUGGGCUUGUGGUGUGAGGCUGCGCCCUUACAGACAGUGUGCAUGGAGUGAGAAGAUGAAAGCUUAUGUGGAGCCCUGGAAGCCCCAGUUUCUGAGAGAUAACAGCAAGAGCAGCCCAUGAAAGUAGCUGCUUAAAGGCAGUAGAGAGACAGCUGCAAAGCCAGGAGAUGUGCUAUCAGCACGCCCUGGGAAGGAAGGGGGAGUGGUCAACAUUUCCACUGCUGAGCAAACUAUCUGACAGCCACAACUCAAAGGAGAAGCUGAUUUUGGCUUCUGGUUUCAGGGCAUUGAGUUCAUGGCCCACUGGCUCCAAGGCAGAAACAUUAUGGUAGGAGAGCGUGGCAGAGCAAAGGUGCUUAGUUCAUAGCAACUAGGAAGUACAGCAGGGAAAGUGUGCCAGAGAAGAGGAGGCUGGGGACUAGAAACAGUACCCAGGGGCACAGCUCCGUGACCCACCCAGAUAUACCCAGAAGUGUGUUUUACUGAUCCUCUGGGCAGCUCCCAAGCCAAUCAAGUUAUUGACCAUCACAGAGGGCAAUUUAGGAAAGAAGAGGGGUUGUGCUGAAUUGCACCAAGGGGCCUAAGAAGAUCAGACCAGAAAAAUAUACAUUCAGUUUCUUGGGCAUUAAGUGGUGGUGACCUCAGCAAAAGCAAUUUCAGUAGCAAGGUUACAAUGGAAGAUUAGUAUACUUUAUGCAAAAAUUAGGAGAUUUGGAAAGAUCAAGAGAGGAAGGGCAGAGACAAUAUUCAAUUAGUUUGAAGAAACGACAAAGAUGGUACAGUGCACACAGAUAUACUUAGGGGAAGCUGGGCAGGAGAGAAUGCAGAACUGAUUGGGUCAAAGCGGAGGAAAGAGGUAGGAAGCUGGGCUCCUAGCUCAGGCUGGGUAAGGCAAGGUAUGAGGGAGCAGCUUGCUCUGAGGAUGGGAGGAUGGGAAAGAGAUCGGAAGAGGGCUGAAUGGUUCUGUGAGGAGUUUUAAAUUUUAUAUUUGGCUUCUUAACCGUGUGGAGUUUAUUUUAAUAAAUGGUGUCAGGCUUUAAAAAAAAAAGUCUUCCCUUAUUACUUACGGCACUUAUUGCUGAGGGAGUAAAUAAUGAAUGGCCAGGCCCAGGCCUAAUCUACACUCACAAGGGCUGAGAGAUAUUAGGGGCAGCAGGGGCCUCCCACACGGCCUGCCCUUCACUGGCCACUCCCUCUGAGCUUCCUCGUUCUCUGGUUCCUUCUGCCAGCCACACAAGAGGUUCUCACGCCAUUAGGAAACACCAGGGUGAUGCAUGGGGUGGCGUUUAACCAUCUUUGAGCUCCUUGUGCAGGCUGGCAACAGUGUCUUAAUUCUGGCAGCUACUUAGUUUCCCUGCCCCGAUUCCACCAGAGGCAAAAGCAAGCGGCCCACAGAAGAAAAGCACGGUGGCAGAAAAGAGCACUGGAAAAAAUGCAAAGAAAAACACAGAAGGCUUAGACCAGAUGACUGCUGAAAUUAAGCCAGGGAGGUGAUGAAGAAAGAGACUGGUCAUAGAGUUAAAAGGCUUUUCUGCUUUUAAGAUCAUGUGGAUUACCUGGUGGAUUGGAUUAUGCAGUUCACUUCUAAACAGGUUUCCUUCCCUCCCACACACCACAAGAUACCUAUUUACUGAGACCCAAAAGUUCUGUGUGUAAAGCCACUCAUGAUGAGAGAUCAGGGCUUAUAAUAGACAAACCACAUUACUCUGUUAGUAACAUCUCCUG